GACGAACGCUGGCGGCGUGCCUAAUACAUGCAAGUCGAACGCAGUGGGGACGGGUGAGUAACACGUGGGUAACCUCCCAUCAGAGGGGAUAACACUUGGAAACAGGUGCUAAACCGAUACUGAUGGAUGGACCCGCGGUGCAUUAGCUAGUUGGUGAGGGAACGGCUCACCAAGGCCACGAUGCAUAGCGGGCCGGAGAGGGUGAUCGGCCACACGGGGACUGAGACACGGCCCAGACUCCUACGGGAGGCAGCAGUAGGGAAUGUUCGGCAAUGGUCGAAAGUCUGACCGAGCAACGCCGCGUGUGUGAAGAAGGUUUUCGGAUCGUAAAGCUCUGUUGUUAGUGAGGCGGUAUCUAACCAGAAAGCCACGGCUAACUACGUGCCAGCAGCCGCGGUAAUUC
rnacentral:rRNA from 1 species